rnacentral:rRNA from 1 species
ACGAGGCACUACGGUGCUGAAGCAACAAAUGCCCUGCUUCCAGGAAAAGCCUCUAAGCAUCAGGUAACAUCAAAUCGUACCCCAAACCGACACAGGUGGUCAGGUAGAGAAUACCAAGGCGCUUGAGAGAACUCGGGUGAAGGAACUAGGCAAAAUGGUGCCGUAACUUCGGGAGAAGGCACGCUGACACGUAGGUGAAGUGAUUUACUCACGGAGCUGAAGUCAGUCGAAGAUACCAGCUGGCUGCAACUGUUUAUUAAAAACACAGCACUGUGCAAACACGAAAGUGGACGUAUACGGUGUGACGCCUGCCCGGUGCCGGAAGGUUAAUUGAUGGGGUCAGCGCAAGCGAAGCUCCUGAUCGAAGCCCCGGUAAACGGCGGCCGUAACUAUAACGGUCCUAAGGUAGCGAAAUUCCUUGUCGGGUAAGUUCCGACCUGCACGAAUGGCGUAAUGAUGGCCAGGCUGUCUCCACCCGAGACUCAGUGAAAUUGAACUCGCUGUGAAGAUGCAGUGUACCCGCGGCAAGACGGAAAGACCCCGUGAACCUUUACUAUAGCUUGACACUGAACAUUGAGCCUUGAUGUGUAGGAUAGGUGGGAGGCUUUGAAGCGUGGACGCCAGUCUGCGUGGAGCCGACCUUGAAAUACCACCCUUUAAUGUUUGAUGUUCUAACGUGGACCCGUUACCCGGGUUGCGGACAGUGUCUGGUGGGUAGUUUGACUGGGGCGGUCUCCUCCUAAAGAGUAACGGAGGAGCACGAAGGUUGGCUAAUCCUGGUCGGACAUCAGGAGGUUAGUGCAAUGGCAUAAGCCAGCUUGACUGCGAGCGUGACGGCGCGAGCAGGUGCGAAAGCAGGUCAUAGUGAUCCGGUGGUUCUGAAUGGAAGGGCCAUCGCUCAACGGAUAAAAGGUACUCCGGGGAUAACAGGCUGAUACCGCCCAAGAGUUCAUAUCGACGGCGGUGUUUGGCACCUCGAUGUCGGCUCAUCACAUCCUGGGGCUGAAGUAGGUCCCAAGGGUAUGGCUGUUCGCCAUUUAAAGUGGUACGCGAGCUGGGUUUAGAACGUCGUGAGACAGUUCGGUCCCUAUCUGCCGUGGGCGCUGGAGAACUGAGGGGGGCUGCUCCUAGUACGAGAGGACCGGAGUGGACGCAUCACUGGUGUUCGGGUUGUCAUGCCAAUGGCACUGCCCGGUAGCUAAAUGCGGAAGAGAUAAGUGCUGAAAGCAUCUAAGCACGAAACUUGCCCCGAGAUGAGUUCUCCCUGAGACUUUAAGUCUCCUGAAGGAACGUUGAAGACGACGACGUUGAUAGGCCGGGUGUGUAAGCGCAGCGAUGCGUUGAGCUAACCGGUACUAAUGAACCGUGAGGCUUAACC